AUUGAACGCUGGCGGCAGGCCUAACACAUGCAAGUCGAGCGGAUGAAGGGAGCUCGCUCCUGGAUUCAGCGGCGGACGGGUGAGUAAUGCCUAGGAAUCUGCCUGGUAGUGGGGGAUAACGUCCGGAAACGGGAGCUAAUACCGCAUACGUCCUGAGGGAGAAAGUGGGGGUUCUUCGGAGCUCACGCUACUUGAUGAGCCUAGGUCGGAUUAGCUAGUUGGUUGGGUAAAGGCCUACCAAGGCGACGAUCCGUAGCUGGUCUGAGAGGAUGAUCAGUCACACUGGAACUGAGACACGGUCCAGACUCCUACGGGAGGCAGCAGUAGGGAAUAUUGGACAAUGGGCGAAAGCCUGAUCCAGCAAUGCCGCGUGUGUGAAGAAGGUCUUCGGAUUGUAAAGCACUGUAAGUUGGGAGGAAGGGAAGUAAGUUAAUACCUUGCUAUUUUGACGGUACCAACAGAAUAAGCACCGGCUAACUUCGUG
rnacentral:rRNA from 1 species